AUCCAUGUCAGAGUUUCUUGACCCUGGCUACACAUUAGAAUUAGUUGAAAAAAACAUUUUUUAAAAAACAUUUAAAUUUUUUUUUCUUUAAAAAAUUUUAAAGAUGACACUUUAGACCAGUUAAGUCAGAUUGCAGUAUUUUUUUAAAAUGCCUUAGCUGGUUUUCAUGUGCAGCCAAGAAUGGGCGUCACUGAACAUGAUGAUCUCUGAUAUUCUUUUUAAAGAACAUCUCUAAGAUUCUAAAGUAUGUUAAGUUUGGACAAUUUAUCAUACUCUUCAGUAAUUUUUAACCUGUUAAAACGGAGAUUCUGUUUUCCCACACAGUGCAAUGGAGUUUAGAACCGGCCUAAAAGGUUGACCAGGAGAAUGCUUGCUGAUAGUCAAAAUCAUUCAAGAAUUUUCCUUCUUCUUCUCUGGUAUUCUUAUCUCUAGAUGAAACAUUAUAAUGGGCUUUUUUUGUUGUUGUUGAAAAGUAGAUGAGCAGAGAAAGGUAAAUGAAUGAACAAUAAGACAUAUAAAUGCUAACCCAGAGGAUACCCAGCAACCAUUCUGAGGUUAAAAAUGAAAAACAUUGUGUGUAGAGAUAUCAAGUGAGCUUUGUAGACAUUGCCAAUAAAGAUGAAAGAACAAUGGAAUUACAGUAAGACCCGCUUCAGUGGACAACUUUUUUACUCAGUAGCUAUGCAGUCAACUAGUUAUGAACUGUAAACAUAUUUCACCCAGGAAGUGUUUGAUGGCAGUUUGUGGUUGACAAGAACAACAGGUCCAGCAUAGGACCUGGCUCAAGUUUAACAGAGUAUGAUAUUUCUGCUUAACAUAGGACUUCUAUUAUUGAAGAGUCAAAAACCCACAAAGAUACUGAAUGUUAUUGUUCUUAAAUACAUGAUAAAGACCUCAAGUGCAAGAGAAGCAGCCUUACCUUGAACUUCAAGUGAUAAAUAUCUGUCGUCCUUCAGUAACAUCAUCACUGAAAGGGUCUGAGGCUCCCUAAAAAUCUGCUUUGAUCAUGAAAACAUGAGUUUCGUUUUUGGAUCAAACUGGCAUUUUCCUUUAGGUGGUUAUUGAUCAGUCUCUUCUCUGCUGAGUCAAUAACAGACACAUACAGAGGUUGGUCCAACGUGAAGUUUGAUUUCUCAGGCCACAAAUGCAGAGAGCCAUGAGGUCACAGCACCAAACGUUUGAGCUUUUCGGUUCAAAAACCAUAGGUGGCAUUAAAGAAUGUACUGGUGUUCUUUGA
rnacentral:lncRNA from 1 species